rnacentral:rRNA from 1 species
CCUACGGGUGGCAGCAGUGGGGAAUAUUGGGCAAUGGGCGCAAGCCUGACCCAGCAACGCCGCGUGAAGGAAGAAGGCUUUCGGGUUGUAAACUUCUUUUCUCAGGGACGAAGCAAGUGACGGUACCUGCGGAAUAAGCCACGGCUAACUACGUGCCAGCAGCCGCGGUAAUACGUAGGCGGCAAGCGUUAUCCGGAUUUACUGGGUGUAAAGGGCGUGUAGGCGGGGAGGCAAGUCAGAUGUGAAAACCACGGGCUCAACCUGUGGCCUGCAUUUGAAACUGUGUGUCUUGAGUACUGGAGAGGCAGACGGAAUGCGUGGUGUAGCGGUGAAAUGCGUAGAUAUUAGGAGGAACACCAGUGGCGAAGGCGGUCUGCUGGACAGCAACUGACGCUGAGGCGCGAAAGCGUGGGGAGCGAACAGGAUUAGAUACCCUGGUAGUC